rnacentral:rRNA from 1 species
CCCUUAGAGUUUGAUCCUGGCUCAGAACGAACGUUGGCGGCGUGGAUUAGGCAUGCAAGUCGAACGAAUCUCACUGGUGUAGCAAUACAUCGGUGGGGGAAGUGGCGAAAGGGGCAGUAAUGUAUGGGUAACCUACCCGGGGGUCGUGGAUAGCCGUCCUAACGGACGGGUAAUACAUGGCGAUUCAGUGAGGCGGCAUCGCUUUGCUGGGAAAGAAUUUCGCCUCCGGAGGGGCUCAUAUCGUAUUAGCUAGUUGGUGAGGUAACGGCUCACCAAGGCAAAGAUGCGUAGCGGGUGUGAGAGCACGACCCGCGCCACUGGCACUGAGACACUGGCCAGACACCUACGGGCGGCUGCAGUCGAGGAUCUUCGGCAAUGGGCGCAAGCCUGACCGAGCGACGCCGCGUGAAGGAUGAAGGCCUUCGGGUUGUAAACUUCUGUCGAGGGGGACCAAAGCCGCAAGGCUUGAGAGAUCCCUGGAGGAAGCACGGGCUAAGUUCGUGCCAGCAGCCGCGGUAAGACGAACCGUGCGAACGUUGUUCGGAAUCACUGGGCAUAAAGGGCGCGUAGGCGGCUUAUCAAGUCAGUGGUGAAAUCCGGCAGCUUAACUGUCGAAGUGCCAUUGAUACUGAUGAGCUCGAGGGAGGUAGGGGUGUGCGGAACUUCCGGUGGAGCGGUGAAAUGCGUUGAUAUCGGAAGGAACGCCGGUGGCGAAAGCGGCGCACUGGACCUCUUCUGACGCUGAGGCGCGAAAGCUAGGGAGCA